rnacentral:misc_RNA from 1 species
UGUGGGAGCGAGCCUGCUCGCGAUAGCGGUGGGUCAGUUGGCUCAGUGCUGACUGACCUUCCGCUAUCGCGAGCAGGCUCGCUCCCACA